rnacentral:misc_RNA from 1 species
AGUGCUGGCGAGGCGGUUUUCUGCCGCGUCCGACGACACCCGCCUCUCUUCCCCGAAAAAGACCUUGCUCUCUUCGGCGCUAUCCGCAUCACCUCUCAUAUACGCACGCGUGUUGCGGAAGAGACGACUUGGAGAGAGAGGGGGAGGGAGGGCGAAAAAGUGCUUUGCGGUGGGGAGGGAGGGGCGCGCGCGCUGUGUUGUUGCUGCUGUGGAUUCCACACGCCCAUUCGCGCUCUCGCUUCCGCCCAUCACCACGCAAACCCACACCGAUACAAACUCCUGCUCGUGGAAUUCGACUAGUACCACUGUCUUACAGAUCUCUUCGUUCCUCUUCUUUUUCGGCCCCCUCAUCAUACCGGAGGAGGGGCUUGUGUCUCUGCCGUUGAACGGUACCCCUACCCUCUCCUUUUACUUUAUUGAGCUGGAGGGUGGUGGUGGUCAUUUGCUCACACACCUCAACGCACGCAGCCCCGUGCUCAUAGUAAAGGGGACCCACAGGGAGUGCGUGUGUGUGCCUGUCGAUGAGGGGAGAGGGAGGGAGAGGGGGGCUGAACGCAUUAAUAAGAAAAGUUCCACGGGCCCCUGCCACACGGCCUCUUGUGGGCGUGUUGGUGUUCGGAUUUCGCAUUGCUGCUUCGCUCCUGUUCUCGUUUCCUUAUUUGUACGUCUCGCCCUUGUACUCGUGCUUGCUUCGCACGCGCGCCGCAUCUCUCUCUCUCUCUCGUGUGCGUAUGUGUGCCCUGCUUGGGCACCGUUAGAAGUGCGUAAAGAGAGGGGUCUACGCGACGCUACACGACAUCAUCAUCACCAUAUAUAUACACACACACAAACAGACAACAAUCAAAAGGAGAGGGUGGGCAACAACACGCAGCAGCGGCAUAACGCAACGAAAGCGGUGUUGAACCUCUUCCCUCGAGUCCCCGUGUUUCCUCAUCUCUUGGCCGGCUUUGGUGGUCUUUACGGGUAUUGUGUUUCGUUCAUCAAUAACAGAUACUAAUAAUACUAAUAAAAAGGGGUCGCAAAUAACGGGACAAAACCCUUACACACACGCGCACACACACAUACACACACGCGGGCGUGCCCGCAGACCCCGCAGCUCGUUUCUCGAAUUCCGCACAGCGCACUCAACCAAAACAAGAGAGAAGAGAGCGCUGGCAUCACCGUCUGCUUCGUCUUUCUGCGUUCUUUUCCUUCUGCGCUGCCUCUAUCGUUUUUCUUUUUUCGUGGGUUUUGUUUUCGCACACGUGUGCCUCUGAUUUUGCUUGUGCCGUCUCCGUCGCACAGCCUUGUGCGCAUGUGUGUGUGCGUGUGUGUGUGUGUGUGCCUUGCGCAUUCAUCUUGACUGGAAGCCCCCGUGUCUUCUCUUGCCUUAACUUGUCUUUGCUUGCUCUUCGUUUAUUUUGUUUUGGUUUCGUCGCUACAAGAGGCUCCCCCCGCGCUGCUCUCCUCUCCCCCUCCACACACACGUUUAAGACCGAAGAAGGAAGGAAAGCAAGUGCACGUGUGGACGGCGUCCCUUAGUGCGUAUUUAUAUGUGUAUGUGUGUGUCUCGCUAUCUUUUCCGGUGCCAUGCUCUCAGGUGCAGCAGCUGGCGCCCGCAACGCGAAUCUGCUGUACACGCUGCGCUCCCUGCACAAUGCACACUACCGCGUCCGCGAGGAUGUGGCUGCAGUGCUGCUGCAGGAGGACUUUUUUGAGGAGGCAUCGAGAGGCGAAUUCUACACCAUGAGCUACCUGCGCCAUCGCAUCCCGUUCUUGUUCCAACUCGCCCUGCAUACGUGGACGCCCCAACAGAGUCGGCAAGCGACGCCGACGUCAGGGCGAACGCCCCUGCACCACGCGGCGCAGCACUCCACGGGGGAGGAGGAGAAUGACCGAGAAGGCAAUAGCCGCCGCAGCGACUCGGACUGCCCUGGCAAUGACGAGGCGGCUUGCGGGAACCCGUUCGCAACGAGCGAGUCGCACUGCGUGCGUGAAGAAAACGAGCGAUCACAGCCAUCAAUGUACCCAGCGACAGCAGAGCCGCAGCCGUCCUCGUCUUCAGGGAGACCGGAAACGUCUCUUCCAUCAGAGCAGCUCACGCAGCUCGCCUUGCUGGCGGUGCAUCUGCUCUGUGGCGACCGGUCACGCGUGCGUGAGGGGCCCGCGGAGGCCUCCAUAGCAUCGUGCGGGCCUGUCUGGGAUGCGCACACGGUGCGUAACUUCUUCGAAGAGCAUCGGUGGCUGGUGCAAUGGACCAGCCAGGUGCUGAACGCGCCGUGCGAAUGGGUGAAUAACGUGGCGAACCGCGCCGUAGAGGACGUUUUGGUAGCACAACCGCAGCGGCCGUCCGCGGGAGAGCCCGGUGCGCCACCAUAGAGCUUCAGCAGCGGCUCAUCCAACCCGCUUCGACUGCCGUCAGCGGUGGGCGCGGCGCCAGCCACCCACCAACGUGCACCACCGCAGCAGUCAUCGCUCAAGAUGGCGGCCUCGCCGGUGCAAGCGUGUUCACCCGACGUCACCGAUCUCAUGCAAUCCUCUCCUUGCUCCAGCAGCACAAGCGCUGAUCUCACGGAGCCGCGCUUGCCAAACCUGUCGCUGCUCUCUUCCCAUCACGUGGGAACGCCGCCGCUGUCGCAGUACCUCUCUCCUAUAGGGUGCCGUACCCCGCUGUCUCAGCAGCCAACGCCUCCCUCUCCUUCCUCGCCGGCCGGCCAGCGAACUCCACGACCGCAGCCACUCCUGAACGUGCCGGCUCACGGCGAAAGCAGCAGCGGCAGCACGCCAACGUCCACCACUGGCAUGCCAGACCGAUCGCAUUACAUCAACAUGCUCAGCCCCGAGGCCGCUAAGUCCUUCAUGACCACUGCGGAACUCACGGUCGAGCUGGAGCGGCAGUGCCGUCGCAUUCGUCACGCCGUCGUGCUGCUCGAGUCUCUUCUGGUGGCUGUCGGGAUGGUGGAGCCCUUUCUCUACCGUCGACCUGUCUGCUCCUCCCCGAUGCGGUCGUGGACGCGGCGUGAUAGCAGGCAUAGAGGCGCUAGCGGCAUAUCGGGGUUUAACGUUGCAGACGACGAGGACAAGGGUGACAACCAUGAUUUGCUCGGCGGCGGCUACGCUGACAGCGCUGCGAGACGACAAUGUUGUCUGUGUCACUUGACGACGAUGGAGCCUAGCGCCAGCACCGGCCCCCUGGCCGCGACGCGCCACGUGAGUAACGUUCUGGAUGCGAAUCGCGACAGUGAGUACGAGGACGAAGCGAACGGCGGCGGGGCCGGUGGCGGGCUCGCAGACGGGGCGGCUGCUGCGUCGGCACUGGCAGUGGAGGAAUCCAGUGAGCCUCCGAAGGAGUUUCUCGUGCGGCACGCCAUGCACGCUUUUACGCACAUGUUCCUCUCCAUUACAGCGGUGCGGCAGCGGCUGCAAGCGUACAGCCAUGAGCGCCGGCACACGCCUUCGACUGCAACGGUGGCGACUGCUGCUGCUGCCGCCGCCGCCCGGGCAAGUUUUUCUCUGACGCCGUUGGCCUCUAAUGGGCCGUGCAACACUCUGGGACCUUUCUCGCCGUUCUCCACGACGAUCAGCGGUGCAGCGAACCUUACCGUCGCCACGGUUAACGCCGCCGCUGCCUCGUCUCCGGUGACGACUGAGGACCCGACAACUCGUUCACACCCGCUGUCUUCCCCGCUCGCGGCACGCCGACCGCGUACGCCUGCAUCAAGUGCCAGCGGCUCCGUCAGCUUGAGGAGCUCCUCAUUGAUGCUGUGCAGGACAAUUUCGAGGUGCUGAAGAAAUCGGCGAUCGCGUUCGUGGCGCAUCAUUCGGCAAUCACAGAGGAAGCUAUCUGCGCCAUCGACGCCGAGGGUGCCGUUUUCACGUUGCAGGCCACCAUGAUGCUCGCUCACGUCUUCGCACCGGAGGUGCUCGCCACACAUCCGCCGGGAUCGCCCGGCGGCAUGGCAUUGGAGUGGAUACUGAGCUACGUUUUUGCCGGCUGCAACGGCGCGGAGGUGCGCCAUCAUCAGCAGCAGCAGCGCCAUUACGACACUGGCGCCUCCGGCGCUAACUCGAGCCUUGACUGCUUCAGUCUGAUGAACAGCAGCCACAGCAGCACGAGCACGGCGUCGCGUAGUCCUGAGGCGAGAGAGGUGUACACAGGACCGGACGGAGGAUGGCGGAACACAGGCAGCGGCUGCCGCAGCGCCCCCCCCCCCCCCCCCCCCCCCCCCCCCGACAGGUGGGGCGCGAACAAGCUCGAGUACGCCGACGCCCUGUUGUGCCUCUGCCUCUCGGGGGAGAUCAGCGACGGCGAGGACGAUGACGAUGACGAGGGGGACGACAAGGACGCCUCGGACGGGAACGGACGAGAUGCGGCGGAAAAGGUGCCGACGAACAUCCGCGUGGGGUACAUUCUGGCAGCUUGCUUCACUCGGUGCCAACCGCUCAUGACCUUCAUUGGGUGCGUGGCUGAAAGCAAGCAGUACAACUGCAGCCGCACAGUCGCGCAGGCUGUUCUGCAGUACGCCUUCGCACUGUCGCAGACGUCAGCGCGUCUGCUGCGCACACCGCUGCCGACGAGCAGCUGAGGCACGCCCUUUACGGAGUCGAUGAUGCGUGGCCUGUCGGAGCUUGCGACGCUUAUGCACCAAUCCGCAUCGGUGAUGCCGGCACACGGCCUCAUGGCAGCAGCAGCAACGGGUGCCGCGGCCAGUGCGCCUGUGAGCGUUCCUUCGAAGUGGUCAUUUACAUCCUCUUCUCAGGCGGUGGCGGCAGAUGGCAGCCCACUCGCGAUCCCACGUGCACGGAUGCCACCACACCUUGCAGUUCGUGAUACUGCGGCUACUGCUGUGGGCCAGACGCAGGAACUCACCCCACUCCUGGCAGCGCAGUCCAACGUCCCGGCGUCGGCCGUCCUCAUGGCGAUGCGGCACUGGCCGCACCGCCACGCGUACUCGCUUGUACCGCCGACGGCCGCAGUCGUCACAGGCACCACGCCGGCAGAGGAGAGCGAGGCUGCCCAGGUGCGGACGCUGCGGCGAUGUAUGGCCUUGCACUGGGCCAACUGUGUGCUGCUGUGCGCUCGUGCACUGACGCUAGCCGGCACCUACGACAUCGCUGUUCCGUAUGAGCUCUACACCGAUAUCCGUACAGCCCGGCUGUGGCUGCGGGAGCGCAUGGCGGAGUACCGCGGUCGCAUGAAGGCGCAGUUCGAGGCUGCCUGCGACGAGGUGCGGCUGGCACGACUAAAAGAGGUGUUUGCGCGAUGGGACGCGGAUGAGCAGCGCAUGUCCGCCAACGACGCGGAGGCCGCUGGGGACAUCUACGGGGGCUUUUCAACGGCCACGGUGCCGCAGACGCAACAGGAGACGCCGGGGCCACCGGCGCUCGCCAGCGUGCACCCACUCGGCAGCGUGACUGCGGCACCCCUGAAUCCCGAACCCCUCGCCGCCUCAUCUGUCCUCCGCCACCACGCAACCCAAGCGAUCACGGCGACCUCGGACUCCUUCGCUUCCCACAACACCUCCUCUAGGAUGCCCACUACGGGUGCCGCCUCGGAGCUGGCGCGGCAGCAGCCGCGGACGCCGCACAGCAACGGUUCGCGGCCGCCGUCCAUCAGCGCCCACCCGCCCGGCCUCUCCGUCCACCGCACCGCUGCCGCUGCCGCCGACUCCACGGAGAAGGAGAGGUACCACCGCGCCUUCGCGGAACCCUUCUGUUUCGGCAGCUCUGACCCUGAGCUGCUGUCAGUCAGCCUGCCAGGUCAGUCGGGAAACGCCGUCCUGGUGCCAAUCCAUGUUAUAGUCUUCACUUCACUCUUCACGAUUCUCGAUGUGAUGGGAGACGUUCUCUUGUGCGAGAAUCCGCGUCUGAGCACCGUAGUGGCCAAUGAGCUGCUGACGCUGCUCUUCGAGACGAGGUUGAGUGUGCUGGAGCCGCUACACGAGGCGAUGGCCGCGGCUGAGCGGCGGGGGUCGACGGCUCCGACGCCGGACGCCGCGUCGAUGGCGUUGUCUCCGUCAGGGUCGUUUUGCCUCACCUUCUCGCGGCCGGACAGCCUCACAGCCCGCCGCUCGGACGCCUCCAUGCCGCCUGCUUCCACACUGGCACCGUUACACUGCCCGCCGCGAUCUUCCUCAGACGACGGCAGCGGCGUCUUCGUUGCAUAACCGGCGGCGAGCAUGGCGCUAAGUCGGCCGCUGCGCCGUGGCGACGGGAAAACAAGGGCGUCCGGCGCGUCGGGCCGCACCUGCGAUAGUGAAAGCCGUGAGGACAGUUGGCGCCUUCGACGACACAGAAACGGCCGCGAUCCGCCUCCAGCACUCGCGCGUGGCGGCCACAUUCUGCUGUUAAACGAGUACGCCCUUCUUCUCGAGGCGGGGCUGCGCUCGCCGCAAGUGGUCCGCCGCUGGCGCACCGAGUUGAAAGCAAACCCCGAGCGCGCCGCCUGCGGCUACGCGUCUUUGCUGUACCACCUGCAGCUACGUCAGGAGCAGUGGACCGAAGAGAGUCCGGACGAGUACCACCUUUCGCGUAGGCCGCUGCGACUCAUGCUCGACGUGACGGCGCGUGAUGUACGAGGCAACAUCCACGGCAACAUUUUGCAUGUUGACGGCCUUGACGUCGUGGCCAGCCGCAAGGAGGAGGUGGCGCCGCGGUUAGGUGUGACCUCACCGAGCACCUCGCUGGCCACAGCGACCUACUCUGCGGAAUGGAACCCAGGAUGAUGGAGACCUCGGAGCCAGGUGAUUCACUCGUGGUGCCGCACGCGACCGCAGCCACAGCCGCCAGUCGGGUGGCCGCGGCAACCGCUAGCGCCGUCGCCGCAGUGGGGACCGCGUCGUCGUCGAUCGCGGCGCAUGCUCAUGGUGUGUUGUCUCUUACCAUGGAGGGGACGCCGCCAGAAAGCCAAGGCGGGGAGGCGCGCGGCUCUGCCGACUUCCUCGCUGAGGACACCGCCGACGAGGAGGACCAGCAGCAUCAGCGCGAUGGCGGCAGCGCACCAAUGCUCGAUGUAUGUUCGGCACCGAACGCUGGCAACUUCUCUGUGGACUCCCUCGAUCCCGGCCACCAGGUCCUCAUCGCGCCGCCAGACGUUGCUCCUAUUCCACUGGCCGCCUCCGGGGCGCUGCAGGCCGCGCACGACGCGGACCGAAGUCACGCUCGCAGCGUCGUCAUGCCACCUUUCACAGCGUGCCCUUUUUCACCGUUGCUGCCAGCGACGCCGACGGUAGCGCCUUCGCCGCCGCCGCUACCACAGGAGCUGGGCUCAUUGCUACCCCGCCUGAGCUCCGCUGAUUCUCUGAGCUUGGCGGGUGGGAGGUUGAAGAUGAGGGACACCAGCAUUGCCGCCACUGCACUGCACGGCCAGCCCACUGUGCUGGCCAACUCCCACUUCUCUGCCCAGGUCGACUACCCGAACCCAGAGAGCGAGUGUGACGACGCCACGCCGCGUCAUCCGGAGCUGCGCAGCAGCAGCUCUUGUACUUCAGCCACCACCGUGGAAGAGGUGGCGAAUGACGGGGAUGCGCACAGCGCCACCUCGCCUGAGCCCAGGGGAGUGCCCUUGCCGUCGGCCGCGGCGUCGCAUUACCCUCACUCGAAUGAGCCGCAGAGCCACGACGACUUCGAUCACCACCAUACCGGCCACGAGGAGCUCCAUCCUCGCAACGGACAGGAGAGCCCAGGCAUGUCCGUGUCGGUGACGGAGCACCGGCACGGCGACAUGCGCCACGGCACGACGCGACGCCGCUGCGUCACGCGUGUGCUGCUUGCCGGGCCACGAGGCGACCUGGAGACACUAGUGUCACGCAUGCCGCAUACGUGGUCGCUGCAGCAGCCGCUGGAAACUCUGCAACAGGAGGCUAUGGAGGAGGAGAGGGCCAACGCUGCAAGUGCAACGGCAGCGACGAGGACGGAGAACGCCGGCUUGGCUGGCGGCAAGGUACCCGAUAAGAGCGCUGCCUCAGUGAGGAUAAGCUACACCCCCGUGCGCACGACAUUCCCGCUAGCAGCGGCGGCCUCGGAGGAGGAGCGAGCCGAGGAGGACAUCGUCGACGUGGCCGCUGCGGAAGAGAAGGCAGCGAUGAACGCAGAGCUGCACAACAGCGGCGGCAGCGCCGUCGAACCUCCUUCUCGAGAGGGUACCCCGAACGUACGCUUACACGUUGCUCAGGCACCGCACGAGGAGCAGCAGGAAGAGAGCGAGUGUGGCGUUGUGGUCGCUCAUGAGGCCCCAGCGCUGAUCGAGGACGUGGUCACUGGUGCUGAUAGCGCUGUCGUCCGCGCGGCCGAGGCGGCUGCGACUGUGGACAUCGGCAGCCAACUGGCGGAGGCCACGCCGUGCGCAGACAGGGUCUCCCUGGAUUCAUCUGCCGCACAGCCGGUGUCACAGGUGCCCAAGUAGGGGCAACCCGGAGAGCUGCAGAGGGAUACGCCACCGCCACCACCGACGCAACGCCCUGUCGUGCCCGUGACCGCCGCAGCGAUUGCCAGCACCGUCCCACAUAUUUCGAUUGUGCCGCGUCACCCAUGGCUGCCGUACGCGGUCUAGGCAGCCGGGCGAUCUCUGACGGCAAAACUCUAUGCGUGUCGUCCUAGCUUCCUCGGAGCGGCGGCGCCGCGCGUUCGCAGGCGUGCUUAGCGCAAGAACGGUGGCUGGCAACGAUCGUAGCAGUGGGCGUAACGCUUAUGCAGAGCAGCACCGCACUGGUUCUUGAUCAUCCAAAGACCCGAUCAACAGCAACGACACCGAAGUAUCCGCUUAGGGUGGCCGUCACUACGGCGUGCCCGUUCAAGCGUGUACUUGCGAGUGUGUUCGCCAUGCGUGCGGUGUUACCGGUGCGCCCUUUUCAAGUUCGCAAAAAGCUGGAAGACGAGCGCAUCUUCUCUCCGUGUUCCGUGCUUCUUGUCGUCUGCGCUUGGCUGAU